CGCGUAGGCGGCCUCUGCAAGUCGACUGUGAAAUCUCCGGGCUUAACCCGGAACGGUCAGCCGAUACUGCAGGGCUAGAGUGCAGAAGGGGCAACUGGAAUUCUCGGUGUAGCGGUGAAAUGCGUAGAUAUCGAGAGGAACACCUGCGGCGAAGGCGGGUUGCUGGGCUGACACUGACGCUGAGGCGCGAAAGCUAGGGGAGCGAACG
rnacentral:rRNA from 1 species